UUUUAAUAAUUGAGCAUGAAAGCCUAGGAAAAAAAAAUCAACAACAACAACAAAACCCAAUGCUGUUGGUACCUUUCCUAACCACCAGGCUUGCCAAACAGAGGAGUUUGUGUGGAGGGGAGAUGAUUCGUCUCCUACUUGUGCAGCAGAAGUUGUUAGAGAAGCUGUGUACGGGGUUGGUAACCAGUCUGCUUCUGUCAAGCGAUCCAUGCUGCUGCAUCCUACACAGCACUCAGGGAAAGAGAUCAAAUCUCUCUGUUUCCAAAAGUCUCCUGAGGGUGCAUCUGCCCACGGCCUCAAGGCAUGAGGGAUGCCUCCUGAGACAGAAGUUUCCUCCUUGGUGUCAGAGAAGCCCUACAAGAAACUCAGAAAUCCGCAUGAAGACAGAUGCACCACUCCUUCAUCUCAUCAAUUAAAUGCCAAUAACGCUGCAUGAUGCUGAUUGCUGACUUCUCUCUUUUUUGGAAGAAAAACCAGAUUCACUACGUGAAAGGACUAACAAAGGACAGAAGCCCAUUUUAACCACAACCUCUCUUCCACACUUCUGCGGCCCUGGGAAUUUCAAAGGCUUUAUUUAGCAUUUCUUUGAGACAGAUAAAUAUUACCACAAAGUGGUGACUAGAAUUUUCAUUUUAUAGGAAAUUUCACUGUUUCAAUAUUUUCAUUUUGAAGUGGAGCAAAAUGGCACAGGAAAGUUCCCAUGAAAAAUAACUGAGGAAAAGGCUGGGUGGAAGGCAGCUCAAAUAAAAUGGUUCAAUUUUUCUUCUCUUCCCCCCUC
rnacentral:lncRNA from 1 species